AUUGAACGCUGGCGGCAUGCCUUACACAUGCAAGUCGAACGGUAACAGGUCUUCGGAUGCUGACGAGUGGCGAACGGGUGAGUAAUACAUCGGAACGCGCCUAGUAGUGGGGGAUAACUACUCGAAAGAGUGGCUAAUACCGCAUGAGAUCUACGGAUGAAAGCCGGGGAUCGCAAGACCUUGUGCUACUAAAGCGGCCGAUGGCAGAUUAGGUAGUUGGUGGGAUAAAAGCUUACCAAGCCGACGAUCUGUAGCUGGUCUGAGAGGACGAUCAGCCACACUGGGACUGAGAAACGGCCCAGACUCCUACGGGAGGCAGCAGUGGGGAAUUUUGGACAAUGGGCGCAAGCCUGAUCCAGCAAUGCCGCGUGCAGGAUGAAGGCCUUCGGGUUGUAAACUGCUUUUGUACGGAACGAAAAGCCCCGGGUUAAUACCCUGGGGUCAUGACGGUACCGUAAGAAUAAGCACCGGCUAACUACGUGCCAGCCGCCGCCGUAA
rnacentral:rRNA from 1 species